GCCUGGCCUGAUCUCCCUGGAGCUGGCUUUGCUUACCGUCUUCUCGGGCGUCUACGAGUUGGUGGACUU
rnacentral:ribozyme from 1 species